AUGGCGGAGCAAUGCCUGGUCCUCCCCGACGAUGUGAUGGAGGAUAUCUUUGCGCGGCUGCCGGCUAAGUCAGUACUCAGGUGCCGCUGCCUCUCCCAUGCCUGGGCAACCAGGCUCUCGACGGACGAUUUUGCCGAUCGCCACCUCCGCCUCGCCAACCGCCACGGUGUCCCGAGGAUCCUGUUGUUACAACACUCGGCCAGCCAUGGGCAGAUGAUGAACAUGUGGUCGCCAGACAAAGCUAGCGGUGCAACGCUGAUGGACAACGUCCCGCGUGAUCUCACGCACGACCGCUUUCCAUACAACCCCUCAACGUUCGGGCGCACGCGCAUCGACCAAGACAGAGACUUCCCACGCCUUGUUACUCAGCAGUGUCGUGGCCUCGUUAUCCUCCAAGCCGCCACCGCAGGGAUGCACUACCUGUGCAACCCAUCCACCGGCCAAAUGACGGUUCUCCCUGACGGCCGAUCCACGGGCUGCAGGAGUCUCAUGGAGUCGUAUAAGAGGUAUGCGUGCCUAGGGCUGGGCUAUGAUGUGCGCACAAGGAAGCAUAAGGUUGUGCGCGUCUACUAUCGUGGUUGUGGUCCUGACAAACUCCCUCUAUCUGCCGGAUGCGAGGUCUACGUGGUCAACACCACGGAGCUCUGGAGGCCGGUGGAGCGAAGCCGCCAGGAGAAGCCUCUCGGUUGGGUAAAUCAAAAUAUGACCAGCGUCUUUGCACAAGGGCACGUGCAUUGGCUAGCUCAGCGGAAGGUGUACUCUCAGCUUGAAGCGAAGCCCACAGUACCGCAAGAGAUGCUCAUUGUUUCCUUCUCCCUCGCCGAUGAAACUUUCGGGGCCAUUCUGCCUCCAUUAGGCAUAGAGAAGGAGGGUCUGCUUAAGCAUCAUUUGACGAAUCUCGGUGGGCGCCUGUGCCUCUUAUACAACAUGUGGCCCCAAUAUCUCGACGUCUACCUAUUACAGGGACACAACACAUCGACGUGGGAUUUACACUGCCGAAUCGAUCUAGCCACAAACUCAUUGAAGAUCUCCAUUCAGAUCAGCCCACUUGCCAUCCUCGAUGGUUGUCGCAUCCUCCUCGUACAACCACGUUUACCAUCGGCUCGCACAACCGGUUUCAAACUAUUUCCGUACAACCCCAUGACUGGCGAUAUCGAGAACCCCUUGGACAGUAGUGGUGUGGUCACUCAUCAAAGCAUAGUCUUAAGACAUGCCACACUAUACGAGGAAAGCAUGGCCUUUCCUGGAAAACAAUACAAAGACAUCAUCUUCGCAGUGUCGCUGGUGUUACGCCGUGUACCAACUUAUGCCCUCAUGAGGCUUAAGCUUGUUUGCCGGAGCUGGCGUACCAUGAUCGAGAGCAGACAAUUUGAUGUAUCAGUAAGUACGUGUGAAAAAUUUGAAGACUACUAA
rnacentral:rRNA from 1 species